GCUUCCGUGGCUCAGUUGGUAGAGCGACGCAUUCGUAAUGCGUAGGUCACCGGUUCAAAUCCGGUCGGAAGCU
rnacentral:tRNA from 1 species